rnacentral:lncRNA from 1 species
GGGGGAGUAGCGGCCUGCAGCAAUGUUCAUCAAAUCCUGAGGAGAGCAGUGGUCCCCAGCCCAGGCCAGAUCCUGUGCUGGUGGCCAUGGCGUCAGAAGUGCUUGUCCCAAAGGGGAGGAAAAAACAGCUUGGGCGACCACUGGAGCAUCUGCCUCGUGUUUCUAACUCUUUGAGAACACAGUUUAGAAGAUGAGCUGGGGUUCUCAGGAAUCCACAGCCGCUAGUCCAAGUGAACUGAGCUCACUGUGAGCGCUGGUGAAGGGCAGGGUUAACCUCCAGGGAAGGAGACAGAUGCCCGUCUCCUCAGCCAGUCACUGCCUGUGGGACCGCAGGGCAAGUACCAUCCAAUCUUCUGAUGUUUAUAGAGAAACUCGAAGCCAAGUUUUUAUAUUAAAUCUUCUGGCUCCUUCCACAUUGGCAGCUAAUUCAAAUUUAUUUUCUUUUUAGGUUCUAUGUGGGCCAAAUAGAACGGGCCUUCGAGCCAGCUAUGGAUUAUGCUCAGGGAGUUUGCAAACCUCGCUCCAAGUCUUGUUGUAUAAAACAAUCAGGAAGGGAUGCAAAGAAGCCCGAAGUGAGGGAGCACUGCUUUGGUGCUCUUGUGGCAGGACGGGGAGAGUACGCCCCCUUGCCCAUGCUAGCUGUUAGUCUUGCAGCUCAUAAGAAGGUGGCUGCUUGCCUAGGUGCAUAGUAGAUGACCAGUAGCCAUGACUGCUGUGACUCCUUUCCCUGGAAAGCAACGUCCGCCUUAUGUGACUAGGCAGCGGGCAGAAUUCUGAGUCUCAUUAUUCAGCUCUAGUUGUCUCAGAGACGUUAGCAGAGCAGUCGCCAGGCUCUAGAAUGAGCUCAUUCGUUACGUAGCAGGUGCUCGGUGGCCGGGCUUAGUCAAGGCUGCAGAGAGUAAGGACUUGCCUCCCAUCCCAGCCUGCUUCCCUGAGAUGUUGCUCUGUGUAUCUCCUCUGGCUGACUCUGUCCCUCCCUCCCCAGUGUGUGGCCUGCAGCAAAA